GACGAACGCUGGCGGCGUGCUUAACACAUGCAAGUCGAACGGUAAGGCCCUUCGGGGUACACGAGUGGCGAACGGGUGAGUAACACGUGGGUGAUCUGCCCUGCACUUCGGGAUAAGCCUGGGAAACUGGGUCUAAUACCGGAUAGGACCACUGCCUGCAUGGGUGGUGGUGGAAAGCUUUUGCGGUGUGGGAUGGGCCCGCGGCCUAUUAGCUUGUUGGUGGGGGGAUGGCCUACCAAGGCGACGACGGUAGCCGGCCUGAGAGGGUGACCGGCUACACUGGGACUGAGAUACGGCCCAGACUCCUACGGGAGGCAGCAGUGGGGAAUAUUGCACAAUGGGCGCAAGCCUGAUGCAGCGACGCCGCGUGAGGGAUGACGGCCUUCGGGUUGUAAACCUCUUUCAGCACCGACGAAGCGCAAGUGACGGUAGGUGCAGAAGAAGGACCGGCCAACUACGUGCCAGCCGCCGCGGUAA
rnacentral:rRNA from 1 species